AUUGAACGCUGGCGGCAGGCUUAACACAUGCAAGUCGAGCGGGGUGAUGGUGCUUGCACUAUCACUUAGCGGCGGACGGGUGAGUAAUGCUUAGGAAUCUGCCUAUUAGUGGGGGACGACAUCUCGAAAGGGAUGCUAAUACCGCAUACGUCCUACGGGAGAAAGCAGGGGAUCACUUGUGACCUUGCGCUAAUAGAUGAGCCUAAGUCGGAUUAGCUAGUUGGUGGGGUAAAGGCCCACCAAGGGGACGAUCUGUAGCGGGUCUGAGAGGAUGAUCCGCCACACUGGGACUGAGACACGGCCCAGACUCCUACGGGAGGCAGCAGUGGGGAAUAUUGGACAAUGGGGGGAACCCUGAUCCAGCCAUGCCGCGUGUGUGAAGAAGGCCUUAUGGUUGUAAAGCACUUUAAGCGAGGAGGAGGCUCUUUUGGUUAAUACCCAAGAUGAGUGGACGUUACUCGCAGAAUAAGCACCGGCUAACUCUGUGCCAGCCGCCGCCGUAA
rnacentral:rRNA from 1 species